GACAGUUCAAUUAGACAAUUUAAAUCAAUCUCUCUCUUUUGGAAAAAUCAACUUCUAAGUUAUUCAUCAUGAUUAUGUAAAUUGCUAGAGCAUCAUAAUUAGAGAAGCAAAUCAAUUUUAAAGAUCCAUUCAUAAUAUUAGAUAAAUAAAAUAUUCUUCUUAGCCAAAUUUCAUCAUGAUCAUAAAAGUCUUCCUUACUCGUAAUAUCCUUAAGUAAUUAUUUGAUUACCUUCUGUUAAUAUGACUUGAAUUUUGGAUAUUUUAAUGGGCUC
rnacentral:lncRNA from 1 species